GCGCAGUGUUGCAGAGAAGAUUUACUGCCCAAUGCAAGGCCAUUCUGCAGGUCAUCGACCCAUCGCCAGUCUGGUUCGCAAGUCGAAAACAAUAUGCACGACAUCCAGGAUACACACAUUGUAGAUGUUUUGCCUACAACGAAAGACCUAUCCGAUAUGUUUUACAGCAACAAAUACAGUAUCGAUGAACUGAAAGCGAAGUGUCAAAAGGUUUGCAACGAGAUUCUCAAGGUGGAAUACGUUGUCAAUGUAUAUCCAACUUACACAACUAAUUCAACGAAACGUUUUGUAUUUGUUGCCGUUGUUGAAAAUGAAUUCGAAAGUACCGAACGACUAAAAGAAUUGGGAUAUGACAUCGAGAUACAAUAUAAACAGCCUAAAUACACAAAAGACAUUCCCCGCCAAGAUGAUUAUCUACUGAGACAUGAGUUUACAGAUAAGCUUAAAAAUGUCAUAAGAAAAUUUGGGAACACGCUUAUGUUGAAACAUACAAAUGUAAGCUUCAUACGGGGUUGCAAGUAUAGAUUGGUUACCGAAAACGAAAAUGAAAUAAAAUACGAACCCCGUUUAGCUGUGUACGUUCGAGCAAAAGGGUUUAUCCCGAUCGGUGAGGAGCCGAUUGCAAAAUCCUAUGACGGAGUUCCCGUAGACGUCCGGGAAGGCGUAUGCAUACCAUUUGCUGGUGGCCGGGCAAACGAUAUUCUUGAAAAUGUCAAAAUGGGAUGCCAAAUUGCACGUCAUAAAUUUGGAAGCUUAGGUGUAUUGUUUGAAAAUGAUUAUGGACUUUUCGGAAUAACUUGUGGACAUGUUGUGUGCUCUCCUAAAGAUAUGGAACUUUGCAUGAAAAAAGGAGGCACGGUUCAUUUUGACACUAAUAAUGAAGUAUAUCAACCUUAAAAACCGCACACUAUUGGUUACCUGAAGAAGGUUAUUUACAAACAAGGUAUCGGCAAUGAUGUCGGUCUUGACAUUGGCGUUAUACAACUGACAAACAGGCCACCUAUAGAUGGAAAAUUCCCCAUUGCCGAAAAAGCUCAGUCAGAUCUCGAGUUCGAAUCUGGCAAAGCUUUUGAGCCAAAAGCAGUUGGCGAACCUUGCUAUAAGUUUGGCUGUGUGACCGAAUAUACCCGAAGUAAAAUUACACAAACAAGUGAGGAGCCUAGUGUCGCCCGUUUUGAUUUUGAAAAUUAUGAAUUGAUCUUACAUAAUCAAAUUUUGGUGAAAACUAAUGGCGUGUCAUUCGCAGACCGUGGUGAUUCAGGAUCGCCUGUGUUCAUCAAAGCAUGUGACGGUGAGCUGGUGUGCAUCGGAAUCGUUGAAGGAGGUUUAAUAGAAGAGAACGAUCCUACAUGUACUGUUUAUGUAACGCCUAUAACAAGAAUUCUUCAGGAAUUAUGCAUUUCUAAACUAAAAUCUUUCUCAAUAAUCGAAACAAUGGCAAAGGACAUAGGUGAAUUGAAAGGGUCCGUAGGUGAAUUGCAAGGGUCCGUUUCAAGAAUAGAACAACUAGUUAUAAACAAUAAAGCAUAUCAAUGCGUUUGCUCGUAAAACGACUAGUGUGUAAAGGUGUGUACAUAUUAACAAAUGACAUACUCAAAUGUGUAAUAGUUCUACCUGUCGUUUUACAAUUGUAAGGCUUGUUUGUGAAACCAAUGGUAAAAAUGUUUAUUCAUAGACUUUGCUUCAUACCACAUCCUUUAACUGUUUUAAUCUACAUGCAUAGGUCAUUGAGUUUAAAGCGUUCAAUUUUAAUUAUAUUUUCUCUCUGACAGGCGUUUCUUGUUUGAUUUAUUGUUUAGCAGUCACAUAAACAACCAAGCUAUGUAAUAUGGAUCUUUAACACCCAUUAUUGCUGCUUCUUCCUGUAUUUGCGCGAUGAUGAUCUGAAAUAUUAACUUCAUGACGCUAUAUUCUUAAAUCUUUUUCUAUAAAGAAGGAAUGUAGUUUACACUUGUUCGUAGUUCCAUUUCAUCGUUCCUCAAAAAGUUGUAACUCUGUCGCUCUAAUAUCUUUCCUACCAUUGAGUAAUUAAACGGUAGUUAAAUUGAAUGAGUUUUAAUUCCCUUUUAUUAUUGUUUAAUUUGAGUUACAAUGCUAUGAGGUUAAAUUGUAUUUACACUUAAAUGUAUCAUGAAUAUUGCUGGGCCAAGUGUGAGGUUGAGCGCUCUAAAACCGGUGUAAACCCCCGAUGCUUUGCAUUGACCGUUCCAAGGCACUGACCCCAGCUUUAUUCGUAUAUGUGUAUAUGUUGUUUUGUAUUGUGCUGUUUUGUACUGUUUGGGCAAUCGGUCACUUGCCGUAAAUAAAGGGCCAACUUAUUGUUUAUAAUAAGAAUUCAA